UAAGCAUUCACUUACUGGCAUAACUUACAC
rnacentral:piRNA from 1 species